rnacentral:rRNA from 1 species
CUCCUGGAAACGGGUGGUAAUGCCGGAUGUGCCGGGCUCCUGCAUGGGGGUCCGGGAAAGCUCUGGCGGCGUGGGAUGGGGUCGCGUCCUAUCAGCUUGUUGGCGGGGUGAGGGCCCACCAAGGCUUCGACGGGUAGCCGGCCUGAGAGGGCGACCGGCCACAUUGGGACUGAGAUACGGCCCAGACUCCUACGGGAGGCAGCAGUGGGGAAUAUUGCACAAUGGGCGCAAGCCUGAUGCAGCGACGCCGCGUGCGGGAUGGAGGCCUUCGGGUUGUAAACCGCUUUUGUUUGGGAGCAAGCCCUUCGGGGUGAGUGUACCUUUCGAAUAAGCACCGGCUAACUACGUGCCAGCAGCCGCGGUAAUACGUAGGGUGCGAGCGUUAUCCGGAUUUAUUGGGCGUAAAGGGCUCGUAGGCGGUUCGUCGCGUCCGGUGUGAAAGUCCAUCGCCUAACGGUGGAUCCGCGUCGGGUACGGGCGGGCUGGAGUGCGGUAGGGGAGACUGGAAUUCCCGGUGUAACGGUGGAAUGUGUAGAUAUCGGGAAGAACACC